CAAAGAUAGAAUACACUAGAGUGCAACUGUGCAGAUAUUUUCUUUCCUUUGUUUGCCUUUAUUCUGCUUUUCUUUUUCUGGCACGGGGAAGGGAGAAAUGAUCAACACUCCUCCCAUAUGCUUCAACUUUCACAUCUGUUUUGCCAUUAUCCAUCCUGCUAAGAUAUAAUUAAUGAGAGCCUUCCCGAAUUUCAUACAUUCUGAAAACCAGCCAAUCCCUUCUCUUUGGAGAAUACAUUGAAAAUAACAAUAAAAGUGAGGUGGUGUGGGCUUUUGAAGUCUUUAGAAAACCCAUCGCUGUGAUCUUUGUUCCACCACUGGGGAACUAGGACAUCACCGCACGUGUCUGGCAUUGUUCGUGACAACACGGCAACAGAAAUAAAGCAAGAGUUUCUGGGAGUAGCAUUAGGAUGCAGCACUCCUGCUGUGCACACCAGUUCCCAGCUCUGCACAGCUGCCUUCUCAGCUGGGGGUUUGAAAUCAGCACUGUGAGAAAAGACAGAAAUGACCGGGAUGCAUGGCCCUCACUAUGAGGAAAAGUUUCUUCUAGGUUUUUCAUUGGCCCUUCUCCUUGGAAAACUGAAUGGUCUUGAACUCGAACUGUGUCUUUAGAAGUCCAGAGAUUGACAAUCCACAGGCAACAAGGCAUCUAGUGUUUGCUGAAUGAACAUUUUACACAAGUCACCGUGGUAAACCAAGAUAUAGCAAAUAAAACAGCAGCCUGUCCUUUCAUUUAAUUUAUGAAGUAUGGGAUAACGUGGGAGGAAGAGGGGCAAAGAUGUCCUGGAAUUUGAAGCUGCUGCCCUGAUCCUAUGACAAUCAUACACUCCUCCCUGCUUUGAUGUUGUGUACUUGCCUGAAGGAAAUGAAGAAAUGUUAAUCAUGGCAAGUGUGUUGGAGUGCCUGGAAGUGAUUUCAAGUUCUUCAAGGCAGAUUGUGAUGUUGAAAGCAGCUUCAUCCAUUUUGUGGCCAUGAAGGAGGAAAAGGAACAAUCAAAAGGAGAAUUCCAGAAAUUCCAGUCUCAAUUUGAUCAAGCUAUUAGAACAAUGGUGCUUGUUGGACAGUGUAUGGCUACUUUGAAGUUUUUCACAUAUAUAUAAUAAUUGUGCAUAUUUCUGGGAUGUGAUGUGUUAUUUUCAUAGAUAUAGGCACUAAAAUUAUCCCAUGUUUAUUCACUCUAAACAAUAGUGUGUGGAGAAUAGUCAUAACUGGAGCUAUGUAACACACAUAGGAACAAUCCAUCAGAGAUUGUUCACAGGUGAACAUUAUGUUAUGAAAUAAAACACUUAAGAAUGAAGUUAAAUACAGUUGUGAUGCUGAAAAAAUAUGAAGUUAAAUGCAGUUGUGAUACUGAAAAAAAGAUGGUGAUCAUUUUACUUGGUAAUCAAAACAGAAUCAAGAAAAUUUCUGAUAUCUUUCCAAGAUCUGUUACAAAAUGAUAUACUUGAUGUUUAUUUUCUCAUAUAAAAUAAGGGAUUACCCUAUUUCUCUGGUUCAGUUUUAGAUGUAAAUUUCAAA
rnacentral:lncRNA from 1 species